CGGCUACCACAUCCAAGGAAGGCAGCAGGCGCGCAAAUUACCCACUCCCGGCACGGGGAGGUAGUGACGAAAAAUAACGAUACGGGACUCAUCCGAGGCCCCGUAAUCGGAAUGAGUACACUCUAAACCCUUUAACGAGGAUCAAUUGGAGGGCAAGUCUGGUGCCAGCAGCCGCGGUAAUUCCAGCUCCAAUAGCGUAUAUUAAAGUUGUUGCGGUUAAAAAGCUCGUAGUCGAAUUUGUGUCUCGCGCCGCCGGUUCAUCGUUCGCGGUGUCAACUGGCGUGUCGCGAGACGUCCUGCCGGCGGGCUUUGGUUCGCAAGAGCCGAGCCCAACCAGAUCCCGCCGCGGUGCUCUUGAUUGAGUGUCGAGGUGGGCCGGCACGUUUACUUUGAACAAAUUAGAGUGCUUAAAGCAGGCUAAAAUUUCGCCUGAAUACUGUGUGCAUGGAAUAAUGAAACAGGACCUCGGUUCUAUUUUGUUGGUUUUCGGAACCCCGAGGUAAUGAUUAACAGGAACGGAUGGGGGCAUUCGUAUUGCGACGUUAGAGGUGAAAUUCUUGGAUCGUCGCAAGACGGACAGAAGCGAAAGCAU
rnacentral:rRNA from 1 species